rfam:Ammonifex degensii KC4, complete genome.
GGUCAAGAUAGUAAGGGCGCACGGUGGAUGCCUUGGCGCCAGGAGCCGACGAAGGCCGUGGCAAGCUGCGAUAAGCCUCGGGGAGCCGCAGGCAGGCGUUAGGACCCGGGGAUGGCCGAAUGGGGAAACCUGGCGUGGGCUCAAACCCGCGUCAUCCCGUGCUGAAUCCAUAGGCACGGGAGGGGAACCGGGCGAACUGAAACAUCUUAGUAGCCCGAGGAGAAGAAAUCAACCGAGAUUCCCUGAGUAGCGGCGAGCGAAAGGGGAGGAGCCCAAACCGCACGGGUGCAAAAGGUCCAGAGCCGUUGCUCGUGCGGGGUAGCGGGACGGACCUGGGCGGGGCUCUGGGACCCGCCGGGGAGUUAGAAAACCGGGGGUUAGCCGAAGAGGUCUGGAAAGGCCCGCCGUAGAGGGUGAUAGCCCCGUAGGCGAAAGCUUCCGGUCUCCCUGGGGUCCGAUCCCAAGUACCACGGGACACGUGGAAUCCCGUGGGAAUCAGGGGGGACCACCCUCCAAGGCUAAAUACUCCUGGCGACCGAUAGUGAACUAAGUACCGUGAGGGAAAGGUGAAAAGAACCCCGGCGAGGGGAGUGAAAUAGAACCUGAAACCGUGUGCCUACAAGCUGUCAGAGGGCUAUGCCCUUUUGGGCAAGGCCUGAUGGCGUACUUUUUGCAGAACGGGCCGGCGAGUUACCGUCCGUGGCGAGGCUAAGGAGCGGCUGCUCCGGAGCCGCAGCGAAAGCGAGUCCGAACAGGGCGCUAAGUCGCGGGCGGUAGACCCGAAACCGGGUGAGCUACCCAUGCCCAGGGUGAAGGUAGGGUAAGACCUACUGGAGGCCCGAACCCACUGGUGUUGAAAAACCAGGGGAUGAGGUGUGGGUAGGGGUGAAAUGCCAAUCGAACCCGGAGAUAGCUGGUUCUCCCCGAAAUGCGUUUCAGCGCAGCCUCAGGGGGAAGAGUACCGGAGGUAGAGCACUGGAUGGGCUAGGGGCCUUAGCGGGUUACCGAACCCAACCAAACUCCGAAUGCCGGUACUUGGUCCCUGGGAGUGAGACCGCGGGGGAUAAGCUUCGUGGUCGAGAGGGGAACAGCCCAGACCGCCGGCUAAGGUCCCUAAGAGCGGGCUAAGUGGGGAAGGAUGUGGGGUUGCUGAGACAGCCAGGAUGUUGGCUUAGAAGCAGCCAUCAUUUAAAGAGUGCGUAAUAGCUCACUGGUCGAGCGACCCUGCGCCGAAAAUGUAACGGGGCUCAAGCCCGCCACCGAAGCCGCGGCAGCGCAAGGUUUGCCUUGCGCUGGGUAGGGGAGCGUUCCCUCGGCGUCGAAGCCGUACCGUAAGGAGCGGUGGAGCUGAGGGAAGUGAGAAUGCCGGCAUGAGUAAGCGAUAAGGCAGGUGAGAAUCCUGCCCGCCGUAAGCCUAAGGUUUCCUGGGGAAGGCUCGUCCGCCCAGGGUUAGCCGGGACCUAAGCCGAGGCCGAAAGGCGUAGGUGAUGGGUAAGGGGUGGAUAUUCCCCUGCCACCGGUCGGGAGCGAUGGGGUGACGCAGGAGGGUAGGCUGAGCGCGCGGCUGGAAAAGCGCGUCCAAGCCUGUAGGGUGCGGGAUAGGCAAAUCCGUCCCGCUUAAAGCCCGAGAGGCGAUGGGGAGGGAAAGAUAAGUACCGAAGCAGCCGAUCCCACACUGCCGAGAAAAGCCUCUAAGCGACAAAGACCCGGCCGGUGCCCGUACCGCAAACCGACACAGGUAGGCGGGGAGAGAAUCCUCAGGCGCGCGGGAGAACCCUCGUUAAGGAACUCGGCAAACUGACCCCGUAACUUCGGGAGAAGGGGUGCCUCUGCGGGUUAAGGCCUAAGCGCCGUAAGCCUGUGGGGGUCGCAGAGAGCGGGCCCAGGCGACUGUUUACCAAAAACACAGGUCCCUGCUCAACUCGUAAGAGGAUGUAUAGGGGCUGACGCCUGCCCAGUGCCGGAAGGUUAAGGGGAAGGGUUAGGGGGUAAACCCCCCGAAGCUCUGAACCUAAGCCCCGGUAAACGGCGGCCGUAACUAUAACGGUCCUAAGGUAGCGAAAUUCCUUGUCGGGUAAGUUCCGACCUGCACGAAAGGCGUAACGACCUGGGCGCUGUCUCAACGAGGGGCCCGGCGAAAUUGAGGUGCCAGUGAAGACGCUGGCUACCUGCGGUGGGACAGAAAGACCCCGUGGAGCUUUACUGCAGCCUGGCAUUGGACUCUGGUGUUCUAUGUACAGGAUAGGUGGGAGGCUGAGAAGCCUGGGCGCCAGCCUGGGUGGAGCCGCCAGUGGGAUACCACCCUUAGGACAUUGGGGUUCUAACCUUGGGCCGUGCAGCCGGCCUGGGGACAGUGUCAGGUGGGCAGUUUGACUGGGGCGGUCGCCUCCUAAAAGGUAACGGAGGCGCCCAAAGGUCCCCUCAGCGCGGUUGGAAAUCGCGCGUUGAGUGCAAGGGCAUAAGGGGGCUUGACUGCGAGACCGACGGGUCGAGCAGGUGCGAAAGCAGGGCCUAGUGAUCCGGUGGUACCGAGUGGAAGGGCCAUCGCUCAACGGAUAAAAGCUACCCCGGGGAUAACAGGCUGGUCUCCCCCAAGAGUUCACAUCGACGGGGAGGUUCGGCACCUCGAUGUCGGCUCAUCGCAUCCUGGGGCUGGAGCAGGUCCCAAGGGUUGGGCUGUUCGCCCAUUAAAGCGGUACGUGAGCUGGGUUCAGAACGUCGUGAGACAGUUCGGUCCCUAUCCACCGCAGGCGGAGGAAACUUGAGGGGGGCCGUCCCUAGUACGAGAGGACCGGGACGGACAGGCCGCUGGUGUACCAGUUGUCCCGCCAGGGGCAUAGCUGGGUAGCCAUGCCUGGAAGGGAUAAGCGCUGAAAGCAUCUAAGCGCGAAGCCCGCCCCAAGAUAAGGUUUCCUGCCGGGGUAAAACCCGGGUAAGACCCCUGGUAGACUACCAGGUAGAUAGGCCGGAGGUGUAAGCCGGGUAACCGGUUGAGCUGACCGGUACUAAUCGGUCGAGGUCUUGACCUG